UGGCGAACGGGUGAGUAACGCGUGAGGAACCUGCCUCAAAGAGGGGGACAACAGUUGGAAACGACUGCUAAUACCGCAUAAGCCCACGGGUCGGCAUCGACCUGAGGGAAAAGGAGCAAUCCGCUUUGAGAUGGCCUCGCGUCCGAUUAGCUAGUUGGUGAGGUAACGGCCCACCAAGGCGACGAUCGGUAGCCGGACUGAGAGGGUGAACGGCCACAUUGGGACUGAGACACGGCCCAA
rnacentral:rRNA from 1 species